rnacentral:tRNA from 1 species
AAAAUCCGUCGACUUUAUAAAUC